rnacentral:rRNA from 1 species
CAGUAGCCGCGGGAACACGAAGGGGGCUAGCGUUGCUCGGAAUGACUGGGCGUAAAGGGCGCGUAGGCGGAUUGUUUAGUUAGGCGUGAAAUUCCUGGGCUUAACCUGGGGACUGCGCUUAAUACAGGCAGUCUAGAGUGAGGAAGAGGGUUGUGGAAUUCCCAGUGUAGAGGUGAAAUUCGUAGAUAUUGGGAAGAACACCGGUGGCGAAGGCGGCAACCUGGUCCUUGACUGACGCUGAGGCGCGAAAGCGUGGGGAGCAAACAGGAUUAGAUACCCCCGUUCCCUGUCUCUUAUACAC